rnacentral:lncRNA from 1 species
CACUCUGUCGCCCAGGGCUUGAGUGCAGUGGCAUGAUCUCAGCUCACUGCAAUCUCCACCUUCUGGGUUCAAGCAAUUCUCCUGCUCAGCCUUCUGAGUAUCUGGGAUCGCAGUUGUGCACCACCACGCCCAGGAAAAAUUGAGUGGUAACUGAAGAUGGCAAAACACCGCAUCAGAACGACUCAGUCACAGUGGCAAUUGUUUUGAAAGAUGAUGAAAGAAGGGCUAGCCUGAAAGAAACUUCUGCCUUCUUUGGAAAUGAGAUGCAAAAAGUAUGGCUCCCUGCUACAACAAAAAUGGAUCCCCCAAGGAGGACAUAACUGGAAUUGCUGUCAUUGUUACCCCUUUGAAAAUCUCAGCCAGCUAGAGGACCAGAGACAUUCUCAUCAAGAUUAAAGCCAGAGCAACCACCACCAACAAAUGAUGACAAAUCCCUGCCAGGAUUGGAGUGGGUUUGAAUGGCAUAGCUGGCCCCUGGUACUCCUGAGUGGUUAGAUCGUCAGUCUUACCUGUUCAUUUUGUUAACCUCAUAGUAGUACAGCAACAUAUUUUACUUGUUUGAAUUGUUUGUGUUAGAAUCAGGUAUUAACCUUGUAGGCAACAUGGAUAAUAUAUUUCUGUAGUUCAACAUAAUUUCCAUUUUAAAUUCACAAUUUAUUAGAGCAGCAGAAAAUAAUGUCAAUAAAAUUGAAGCCUCUUUUUCUUAAGGGAUUGUGCCUAAGGAGCUUACUUAAUUCCAAGACUGGGUGUGUGGUGAGGAGGGGAGAAAAUGGAGAGGACGCUAUGCCUCAUUAUUUCCUAAGAUGCUCAUCAUUCCAAAUGAUCAUCCAUCACUGGUCUUAAGGUCACUUUUGUCUUCUGGUCUCUUUGGGUCUGAAAGAUCUCUGCUAUGUCCAUUAUUCAGGUGGGGGUUUGGAAAUAACUGCAACCUAUCUAGAAACUCAUCUGCCAAAUGAACUUCGCAACAAUUUCCUAUGUGGGGGCAUAUCACCUUCCUGAGACUCUGCCUGAGGUAAAGGCACAGAGCCUCACUCCCUUGAUCAAGCUUCCUUCCAUCCUUCUUACUCCAACCUGUUUUCUGUUUGCCACAGAAAUCUCACCUUCUUUCAGAGACACAAAGGGAACUCUACCCCAAGAUCAAUUUUAUAAAGGCUCAUAAUUCCAGUUCUCUCUUGAUAAUAGAGCAGUCUCGAAAUCAGUUACUAAAUGUAGGGUGGAUUAAUUUUAGAUCUUGUGUAUAGGACUUGGUCUGAAUCCUUUAAAAUCGUAGGUAUAUACUUUACAUAAGCCUUACCCCAAGGGCAGCCAUAAUUUUCUUUCAACCAUAUUUUGUAGGCUGGUGAGUCCUGCACCUGCCCCAAGUUUCAGGCAAUUAACUUGACUGUGGUCUCCUGCCAUGCACACUGAGCUUUAGCUCUCAUUAAUCUGUGGGAGACAAAUUCUAGCUUCCUCUAGACUGAGAACCAGCAGGCCUAGCUCCAGUCUCUAAUCACUAACUUAUCACUGUGACAUUUUUUUCCCUUUCUGGUCUGUGGAGAUAUUUCUCUUCUUUUGAGUUUACCAUAUCUUAGUCAUUUUGCCAUUCUUUAAAAUUAUUCUUUGACUGCUAAGCUUGGAGUUGAUGGAGAAGUUCAAGCCUAAACUCAUAAUGUCAUCCUGACCCUUGGUCCCAAACUGUUGGUAUCUGAUUAUCUAGUUCUCAGGGUGAAUUUGGAUAUUUGUAGACUUGAAGGCCCAAAUAGACAAGUGGACACUCCAUGUUAAUCAUAGCCCAACUUAUCCUAGAAAGAAAAUUAAGUUUAAUUAAGUUCCUCAAUAUAUUUCACCUAAGAUGCAAGAACAAAUAAACCCUGAAAAAUAUUUUUUAUAGUGAAGCCCUUGCUCAGAGAAAAAACAGAACAAAACCUCAAGAACUGUGAUUAAUUAUACUAAAGGAUAUUUUCAGGCAUGGACUUGUCUUGAAAACGUGCUGUUGGGCCUAAUUGUAUUUACAGUUCACACUCAUAUAUAGAGCACUGGUAGACCAGUCAGUGAGUGAAUGAUUAUAGUCCUAUUUUUGGCUUGAACAUUCAUCAAUGUGUGAGUGUUGGCAGGAAAGCCACUAAACUUUUCACAGUAUGUCUUCUCAUUGUAAAAUGGAAAUAUUAAUUCCUGCCAUUAUUGUGGUAUGGUUAUGAAGAACAAACAAAACACAGCCAAAUGAUGCUAUAAAUCUGUUUUGAGAUUAUCCCUGGCACAUUUACCUAGUAAAAUUUUGCAUUCAUUUUGCAUAGUAAAAUGAAUAGUUGUUAUUUUAAAAGAGGGUAAAAAAAAUAAGCUAAGUAAUUCAAGAAUCUAAAAACAACUAUAAAAUAAGCAAUACAUUAAACAAAUAUUAAAAUUACUUAACCAAAAAGAAAGCUAUUUUGUUUAAAAGAUUAGUAGAAUUAAGACGAGAUUUUAAAUGUCUCUUUCUACUGAGGUUAAUGCUAAAAAAUUGUAUCUUUGAGUUUUUUUUUCUUUUUUUAGAAAAUGAUAGUGGAAAAAUUUUUAUCAGAAGAAAGCUUAAAAGCAUAGGUAAAAUUAGCCUUUUUUUCUAGAGAAAAUAUAAGUAUCAAAAAUGACAGAAGGAAUAGAUCAAUUAAAUACUGUAAAGAGUAUAUAGCUAAAAAUAAUCAAUUCCCAAUGUCUCAAAAUUCACCUUAUAGUACUAAUUAUAACUGUGGCCAAAUCUCCAAGGUACAGAUAAUGCUUAUAUAUUAUGACCUUUCCAGACACUAUAAAAAGAGGACAACCUGUCAAGAAAGUUUAUUACUAUCUUUGGUUUUUCAUGUUAUGAUUGUUUAUCUGCUAAGAAAUUAUUGGAACUGUUAUUACAGUUUGUUAUUAAUGCCAAAAAUUAGAUCGAUAUGCAAAGGCCAAUGGAAGAAAUAGUUAGCAACAAUAAGAGAAAAAAGUAUAUAGAGAAAAAAUAUCUAAAAUAUCAGAAAAACCUUUAUGAUAUCAAAGAAUGUAAUAAAAGUAAAACCAUUAUAGAAUAAUAAUUUUUAAAAUAUUUGUGAAAGAUAUGUAUGAAUACCAAAACAGGUGGUAAAAAUCUUGUUAUGGAUAAGAAAAUUCACGGCCAUAAAGCUGUCAAUUUUUUUCAAAAUUAAAGGGCAACCUCCCUCUAGGAUUUUUAAUGUACAUACUAACUUGGUGCAAAAGUCAUUGCAGUUUUUGCCAUUACUUUAAUAGCAAAAACUAAAAAUAACCAAAAUGUCUGGUAGGGGGUCUGCCUGAGCAAGUAUUAAAACAUAAGUAACAAUAAUUAAAGCAGCAUUAUAUUGGCACAGAAAUAGGUAUGAAGGAAUUAAGAGCUGAGGUAGAGUCUCAAGUUUAUACAUAAUUUUUUAUUGUUGAACAAUUCUAUGGAGAUAAGUUUUGCAUACAAAAAUUUCAUGUUUAAAGAAAUAAUUUGGUGUUUUGAGAUAUGUAUUUAUGCAUGUUAAAAAAUUGAUCACUCACAAAAAUUUCCUCCACUUUGUACUCUCUUUCUUAGAGUCCUUCCCAUUCUAGGAAGCCAAUGAUUGUCUUUCUAUCAUUAGAGACUAGUUUGCAUUUUUAAGCAUUUUAUAUGAAUGGAGUAAUACAAUGCAUACUCUCAUUUUGUCUGGCUUAUUUCACUCAGUGUAAGAGAUGUCUCAAACCUGUUGCCAACAGUUUUGCAUCAAUAGUUAAUUCUUUUCAUUGCUGAGUAGUAUUCCAUUGUAUAGAUGUAUCAUAAUUUAUCUGCUUACACACUGAUGGACAUUUGGAUUCUUUCCAGUUUUUGGCUAUUAUCAUAAAAGUUUCUUGAAGAAUUUUAUAAAAGUCUUGGUAUGAAUAUUUUCAUUCAUUUCUGCUGGGUACAAACUUAGGAGUGGAGUGUCUGGAACAUAUGGUAGAUGCAUGUUUAACAUUUUAAGAAACUGCCAAAUCAUUUUCCAAAAUACAUGUAUUACUAGGAUAAGUUAGAGUGAAUUAUCUCCAUACCCUCUUGAAAUAGGUUGACCAUGUCAAUCUAUUUUUAUGUAGUCAUUAUACUGAGUGUGCAGUGGUAUGGCCAUGUCAAUCUAUUUUUAUGUAGUCAUUAUACUGAGUGUGCAGUGGUAUGGCCAUGUCAAUCUAUUUUUAUGUAGUCAUUAUACUGAGUGUGCAGUGGUACCUAAUUUUGGUUUCAGCGACUAAGGGGUUGAGC